GCUGUAAGAUACAGUGGUAACACAACAAAUUUAUACCAGCAUAUGAAAAUUCUGUCCUGGGUUUUAACUUAUAAUCCAAAUGUAAAAUCACAAAAACACUUGGGCUUAAGGUCAUGAAAAUUCAUCCUCCUUAAUUAUUAAAAGGUAUCGUAUCGCCGACAUUGGCCCUGUAUUUACUUGGUAUCGGAUCGAUACCAAAUAUUGCAGUAUCGCACACCACUACUUAACAUCGCUGUGCUCCCACCGAACGUACUUGUGUGCGGGAGCAGGCAGUGGACCAAACCACUGUGGAAGGAGGGGGGGACUCAAGAUGUUUUUUAAAACUUAAUUUUAGUUUGUAUUGUUUUACUACUUACACAAUUAUUUUAAUUACAUAUUAUUGCAUUAUUUACAAUACACACAGCAUGGUUUUUUUAAAAUCAUUUUUAGGAGGGGACAACCCUUAGAUGAGGUAGGUCCUGACCCCCAUCCCCCAUCCCCCAUCCCCCACCCCCCGUGAUUCACGCCUAGCAGAGAGAGGAGGCUGGAUAAGGGUUUAAUUACUUUAAUUACUAUGCUCAUUCCUUUUUUUUAAAGAACCCAAUAGGAUGGACUAGCACGUAGUUAUUUUUUUAUUUGUUGACAAUAACAAAUCAAGUCAUUGCAGCCUACUCUCAAAAACAAAAGGCAGCUUUCUUUUUAGAACAUGUUAUAAAGACUCUCAUGUUAUCAGAAGGUUAGUUGUGUAACUAGGAACACCGUCCUAAUAAUGCUUAAAAUGAGUUAGUGUUUGCCGUGAAAACGCUUGACAGGCUCGUAAUAUCCUUACUCCUCGGUGUCAUUACAGUAUAAAGUAUCUUCCCCUAUAGUCCGCGCUUCAACAGUUACAGUGGAUUUGAUGUUUAAAUGAGAAGUGUUUUUCUGUCAUGCCAGUAUACUAAAUGUUUGCAAAUGGGAGCUUCACGCAUCGAGUGUGCAGUUGUUUGAAGACGCUGUCGCUAGUCUCGUUUUAGCUUUGUGAUUCCUCCAAAAAUUAUAAGCAGGGCCCAAAUUAUUCUCCACAGCUUUGUUAUGGUCUCCAUUACUCAUUAUCACGUCUUGUGAGAUAUUUACAGUCUUGUAGAUAGAGUGUGAUAUUUAAACUUUUAGCCUUUAGAGUUUGCAAUACAGUCAUAUUAUUAUUAUUAUUACAUAUAUUACACAUUACGUAUAUUAUUAGCACAGAUAAAAGAUAAAAAAUAAUCAUAUGUUUUUUUUAAUUUACACAACAUUCCAUGAUUGGCUUACUGGCCUGUAGGUAAGGUAGCCAUCCACAGACACAUUUAAGCUUAGGGAUUGACUAAACUCAAUACUAGAUUACUAUUUUGUGUGUGUUAAUUUUUUAUGUUUUAUGUUG